CCCCAAGGAACAAGACAUUUCCAUCUUGUACUUCUUGUCAUGCCACAAGUUGAAAGAAACAUUGUGGUGAACUGCAUAUAAUGCCUUGGCAAAUUCUCCUAGUGGAAUAUAAUUUCAUCAAAAAAUGGUUUGAUGAAACUAAUACAGUAAUGCUAGCAAUUGAGAAAUAUCCUAAAGUUCCCAAAUGGUUUGUAAUAGCUAAUGAGUCUGAGAAAUAGCCGGAACCACUAAAGC
rnacentral:lncRNA from 1 species